rnacentral:rRNA from 1 species
AAGCUCGUAGUUGAAUUUCGGGGUUAGUAGGUUGGUCAUGCCUCUGGUAUGUACUGGUCUCACUGAUUCCUCCUUCCUUAUGAACCGUAAUGCCAUUAAUUUGGUGUUGCGGGGAAUUUGGACUGUUACUUUGAAAAAAUUGAGUGUUUAAAGCAAGCUAACGCUUGAAUACAUUAGCAUGGAAUAAUGAAAUAGGACGUUCGAUCUUAUUUUGUUGGUUUCUAGGAUUGACGUAAUGAUUAAUAGGGAUAGUUGGG